CCUACGGGUGGCAGCAGUGGGGAAUAUUGCUCACUGGGCGCAAGCCUGAACCAGCAACGCCGCGUGGAGGAUGAAGGCUUUCGGAUUGUAAACUCCUUUUGUUAGAGAAGAUAAUGGUGGCAUUUAACGAAUAAGAACCGGCUACCUCCGGGCCAGCAGCCGCGGUAAUACGGAGGGUACAAGGGUCAUUCGGAUGCAUUGGGCGUAAAGGGAGGGGAGGCGGGGUAGCAAGUCAGAUGUGAAAACCUAGGGCUUAACCAUCGAACUGCAUUGGUGACUGUGAUUCUAGAGUAUUGGAGAGGUAGAUGGAAUUCUUGGUGUAGGGGUAAAAUCCGUAGAGAUCAAGAGGAAUACUGAUUGCGAAGGCGACCUGCUAGAGCGUAACUGACGCUGAGGCGCGAAAGCGUGGGGAGCAAACAGGAUUAGAUACCCUAGUAGUC
rnacentral:rRNA from 1 species